GUGAGGAAUAUUGGGCAAUGGGCGAAAGCCUGACCCAGCCACGCCGCGUGAGUGAUGAAGGCCUUCGGGUUGUAAAGCUCUGUGGGGAGGGAAGAAAAAGCGGGAGAGUAACUGCUCUCGUGUUGACGGUACCUCCUUAGCAAGCACCGGCUAACUCUGUGCCAGCAGCCGCGGUAAUACAGAGGGUGCAAACGUUGCUCGGAAUUACUGGGCGUAAAGCGCGUGUAGGCUGACAUGCAAGUCGGGUGUGAAAUCCCAGGGCUCAACCUUGGAACUGCACUCGAAACUGCACGUCUUGAGUACUGGAGAGGGAAGCGGAAUUCCGGGUGUAGAGGUGAAAUUCGUAGAUAUCCGGAGGAACACCAGUGGCGAAGGCGGCUUCCUGGACAGUAACUGACGCUGAGACGCGAAAGCGUGGGGAGCAAACAGGAUUAGAUACCCUAGUACC
rnacentral:rRNA from 1 species